rnacentral:tRNA from 1 species
GGUGAUGUGGCUGAAAUUUAUGCAAUAAAUUGUAAGUUUAUCUUAUAGUAUCUUUACUCAUCAAGG